rnacentral:rRNA from 1 species
GUGCCAGCAGCCGCGGUAAUACGUAGGGUACGAGCGUUGUCCGGAAUUAUUGGGCGUAAAGAGCUCGUAGGUGGUUGGUCGCGUCUGCUGUGGAAACGCAACGCUUAACGUUGCGCGUGCAGUGGGUACGGGCUGACUAGAGUGCAGUAGGGGAGUCUGGAAUUCCUGGUGUAGCGGUGAAAUGCGCAGAUAUCAGGAGGAACACCGGUGGCGAAGGCGGGACUCUGGGCUGUGACUGACACUGAGGAGCGAAAGCAUGGGGAGCGAACAGGAUUAGAUACCCUGGUAGUCC